rnacentral:lncRNA from 1 species
GUAAGUUCACACUGACAUGUUUUCUUUGGGGGAAGUCCUGCUGUAGUUGAAAGAGUAAGAAGGCAUGAAUUCUAGUCUUGGGCCUCCGAGUUUCCUUAUUUUGAAAGUUUAUGAUCUGGGGCAACACAUAUCUUUUCCCUAUGUCUUGGUUUCCUCGACUAGAAAAUAUAAGAUCCUUUAUUUAUUUAUUUGUUUUAGCUCUAAGGCUAUGUGAAUGUACAAUUUACUCCCCCAGAUCCAUUUCUGAGAUAUUGAAGGGGUUUUGAAAGAUACUGGGAUGUUUACAAAGUCAGAGAUGUGUGAUGUUUUCAGGAGACCUAUUUGCAAUCCAGGGAAAGCUGAGGCGCUGCAUGGAACAUCGAGGCUUGGGGAUGGGAGCAGCCAGGCAGGCUUGAGAAAGAAGCAUGUGGUUAGUUUAAAUGUGUUGUCCAUCAGCUCUUCCCUAACUGUGGUGGGGCCAUUAUGAGGGGACUAUGUUGAUGUUUGUGCUGAGCAAGACCCAUAUGACCAGUGUGUGUGGGCCCUGGGAGGGGGAGGGUGGUAAAAGAUUCUGGAAAGAUUUCUGCCUGAGCAAGAGAGAAAUGUGCAGAUAGAUUUCAGACUGUUCAUGCCAUAAAUACCUAUUCAGUGCCUAGUCUGUCGUAGACAACUUGGAUAUAAUGCUGAACAGCACAGAUAGGAUUCCUGCCUUCAUGGAGCUUAUAGCCCAGUGGAGGAGAACAAUAAAUCAACAAUCUGGUUAUGUAUCAUGCUAGGAAAAGUGUAGGGUCCCAUGGGAGCACAUAGGUGGGGCAUCUAACACAGGUUUAGGGAGCUUGGGAGGUUUUCUGGAGAAAAAUGUUUGAGGAGAAAUCUGAAAAAAUACAGGGAUGAGAGGAACAGAAGGAAGUGUUUAAGGCAGAGGGAGUAGCUUGUACAAACGCCUGGAGAGGAGAGACAGGGCAUUUUCAAGGAUCUGAAAGCAGGUUAGUGUGGCUGGAGGGUAAGAGAGGGAGGCAGAGAAUGAAUGGAGGGGACACUGCAGAAGUUAGAUUCUGGAGCGUCUUUUUAAGCCAUAAGAAGGAAUUUGGCCUUUAAUUUAAAUGCAAUGAGGGCCUCUGGACAACUUUAAGCAGGGCAGUGAUUUGAUCAGAUUUGUGUUUUAGAACAUUCCUCUUGGAUAAAGCGUGGAGAGAGGAUUGGAGGGGGCAAGACUAGAGAUGGAGAGAGAGAGGAGACAGAUGGGUAGAAGGUUUUUGAAUUCCAGAUGAGAGAGAAUGGUGGUUUGGAUUAGGAUGGGGGCAGCGGGAUUGGAGAGAAGUGAUGGACUCAAGAAAUGUUUAGGAGGUCAACUAUGAAUUGAGGUCAAUGAAUGAGACGAUGGGGAGAUACAAACAUUGAGUCCAUAACAGGUGAUUUACUAAUUUUCACAGGUUACCUCUACUCUUGUGAGACGAGACCCUGGUACAUAGUAGGUUCUGAAUUAACACAUGUUGGAGGCUGGCUAGUGUAUAGAACUUUUGGAAUUGUUUGUCUAGAGGAGGAGAUAAUAACCAUCUUUUUCCCUGAGAAUUGGUCUUCUGUUUCCUCCCAUGAUUCAUAAAGAUUAGUUUCCAAGCUGCAAUUUUUGUCCCAUGUGACCCUAGGUCUCUUGGUCUUCACUGGCUGCACAAAGGAUAGAAAUUUACUUAAUAUGUGAAAAUUGGGCUUUUUCUCCUGGGAAUUUAAAAUUGAGGCUGUUUCUGUGGCUGGACCUUUAGCAUAUAAACUUGGGAGAUGUGGGGUGGACACAUUUCCUACCAUGUAGAAUGGGAAGCCAAGAAAGACAGUGAGCAGAGAGAAGCAUGAAGAUAAUGAAUAGUUAAGUUGAAUGGGGCUGUGGGACCACCACUCUGUUUAUAAAACAGUCCUCACAACAAUCUUGAAAGGUAGUGUUAUCCCCAUUCAACAAUGGAGGAAACUGAAGCCCAGUAAUGUUAAUGACUUGUGCAGAGAAUGGUGGCAAAGAUGGAACAGACCCUGGUCUACCUGUCUCUGAAGUCUGUGCACUGCCAGGUAGGUUCCAUAGCCUUUCUUUACAGCUCCUACCAGGUCAUUCUACACGGGAGGCACUUUAUACGGGGGACCCUUUAGUCUAGUGACUGGUCACUACAAUGAAAAGCAGUGGUGAAGCUAGGUAUUUGAAUUGACUAGUUUAUUUUAUCAACAACUUUGUGAUUGAUUCAGUUAAAGAUUUUAUGAAAACCUGGUCAGAUUGUCAAACAAUCAUAUAGUGUUUAUAAUUCUUUUGGGUUUCAUUAUUCUAUUUUGGAUAGCUGAACUUGUAUAUUAUAGAAUAUAAGGUUUGGGUAAUUUGGUUGGGAGUCAGCUUGGACUCAACUCGCUUGCUGAAGUUUCGAGUACCCUGAGAGACAGAAUUAUAUUAUUUAGAGCUGUUUACUUUGUGUAGCACCUACUUAAUACUACGCAAUGAAUUCAUUAACUUCUAAUCACUCUUGAUUCACUUGUUUAAGGUGGGUAAAGCAGGGAUUAUCUGAAUUUUAAGAUUAAGGCUGACAGAUUAAAUUUGUGUCUGUAAUCUAUUGAAUUUCUUUGUUUUUGUUUUGUUUUACUCUGACAUUAAAAGAGACAUUAUUAUGACCCCAGUCUGUCCAAAUUGUAUACUAUAAUGGAUUAUGUGUGAAUAAAUUAAAGGACCUAGAUCUUUAAUAAUAAAACCACUUUGCAGCAGCCGUAGUUCUGUAAAUGGAUAUCUUACUUAUUAAACAAAAUGUAAUUGGAAAAUAAAACGCACUGUCACCAAAUAAUGGCCCAUGUAACAAAUAAUCAGUUUGGAUGCAGCUACAAGAUUUUUCUGGCACAAUAGUAAAUUAAACACUUCAGCAAAUUUGUUAAACCAAUGAAAAUUCCAAUCCUGUGUGUUUUGUUUUAAUGAUGUAGGAAUGUGAACAACAAGAUGUUUUCUUUUUUUUGUUCACGUUAGAGUGAACAGAAAAAUAAUUUAACAGACAAAGAAAGUUUCUGGUGUUUUCCUGGGAAAAUGAGGUUAGAGCAGUUAGAAACACCAUUCGUAGCUUAAAGCAAUAGAGUUUAUUCAGAUGUUUUUGUUUUGCUAAUUGGCAUUCCAGGGGUAAGUGGUUACUGGUGCAGGCUCCUCCUUCCAACCCCGCCAUCACGAGAGACUCAGGCCCUUCCUACCUUUCUAUGCUGUCGUUCUUAGCAAAUUUGUUUUUAAUUUUCCUGUAUGUUGCCUUAUGGUUGCAAGAUGGCAGCAAUAGGGCCAGUCAUCAGGAAAAAGGGGGCAAGGAUCAGGACAUCUAUGAUCCUUUAUCCGGCCACUUUCACAUAGAUCUCCAAGACCAGACUUAUCCCCCAUGUCCAUAUUUAGUUGCAAGGAGGCUGGGAAAAUGAGGAAUAGGAUUGCCAUUGUUGGUAUGGCCAACCAUGACUAAUCCCCAGGGGCUGGGCAAUUGCUGCCACCAAACAAUAUUGGGGUGCUGAUCAGAAAAAAGAAGGGGCUGGAUAUUGGUUCCACUUCAGAGGUUUACAUAUGUUUUGGUCAGCAAUCUGCUGUUCUUUCCCUAUUUUCUCAGAAGCAGUCUGGUCAAAGUUGCCCGCUUAUCAAUAGCUAUUCCCAAUUGGUGUGUAUGCUUAAGUGUGGAUUGUAGGGAUUCAGAUGUGGGAGAGAUAAUGAGGGCAAGAGUGGUCAGGGGAUGCCUCAUGAAAGAGUAGAAUUGAAGGGGGGGAGGAUUAAUGUAGGUGGUAGGGAAAAGAAACAGCAACCUAGCAAGAGGGAUCACACAAGUGAAGGCGGGGAGAUCAGCUAAGCACUUGUCUGAUAAGAGAAAUCUCAACUUCUGAGAGGAGUUGAGACUCUCUGUGUUAAGUGUAUCUGAUGCUUUGACAUUUGAGACCUUGCUGACCUGGAGAGACUGUCUCUCUCAGGGCUGGCCAAUUCCUAGAGGUCGUAAAUGACUUGCCUGCCAGCACAUGCAAACCAACAAAUCCAGAGCCCCCAACUAUCUCCUCCUUUAUUGAGCUCUUAAGAGCUACCCACCUGCCCUAAUCAUACAAGGGCCAGAUAGGAGACAACUAGAGACAGUUGCUCUACCCCAAAUCCUGCUGAAUUUCAACUAGCCAAUCCUAAACCUGCUUAUCCUGCCUCACCUUUUCCUUCUCAUGGAAACCAUAAUAAAGGCUCUUACUUUUUCUCCUUGCUCCCUCUGCUUCCUGACUGACUCUGGUGCUUCCCUGGGUGGCCCCCACACUGUGCCAUGCUGGACUAUACCUCCUGUUUCCAAGGAUCUCUUUCAGCAAUGCUUCGAGGAGACUGAAAAUAUUUUCUUCCAAGAGAAUAAAGUGAAUACCACGUGGAGGACAGUCUCUAAAACGUAUUGCUCAUGUGGCUGUGCCAAUGACCCAGCUAUUAACGGAAAACAUACUUUUCAUUUCGACAACUGUCGACUGGACCUAAUUGCUUUUUGAUGGUAGUUCUGGAAAAAUAUAGUAAUACUAGUCACCGUGGAUUCUACCAUUUAAAAAGGAGCACUAUGACCUUUCAUUCAGAAAGAUAGAUGCUCAAAAGGACCAUCCAAUAAAGUGUUCUAAAACAGUGCUAAAGAGCGGCACAGAACUUUUGGGAACCCUUAAGAACAGUUCUGACCCUACUUGGGUGGUAGGGUAAGAUAAGGUUGGAUGUAGAUACAAGAGUUCAGCAAGAAUCAACAGAAGCAUUUUGUCUGAAUCAAUUGGCUAUAUGGAAUUUAUAAUAAAGAGUAUCAUACGUUUUAUCAUUAUUUGUAGAUUGUGAACUAUACAUCUUUUAUAUCAGUAAAAUUUGUAAUAAACUUUUAUGAAUACAUAUUAUAAAUACACUUUUUUUCUCAAAGAGCUGCUUGUUGAACAUUUUCCAGCAGAUUAUGGCCUAAACUUAUCCCUAACUCCAUUCUAGCUUAUUUUCUCC